rnacentral:rRNA from 1 species
GACGAACGCUGGCGGCGUGCCUAAUACAUGCAAGUAGAACGCUGAAGGAGGGGCUUGCUUCUCCGGAUGAGUUGCGAACGGGUGAGUAACGCGUAGGUAACCUGCCUGGUAGCGGGGGAUAACUAUUGGAAACGAUAGCUAAUACCGCAUAACAGUAGAUAUUGCAUGAUAUCUGCUUGAAAGGUGCAAUUGCAUCACUACCAGAUGGACCUGCGUUGUAUUAGCUAGUUGGUGAGGUAACGGCUCACCAAGGCGACGAUACAUAGCCGACCUGAGAGGGUGAUCGGCCACACUGGGACUGAGACACGGCCCAGACUCCUACGGGAGGCAGCAGUAGGGAAUCUUCGGCAAUGGACGGAAGUCUGACCGAGCAACGCCGCGUGAGUGAAGAAGGUUUUCGGAUCGUAAAGCUCUGUUGUAAGAGAAGAACGAGUGUGAGAGUGGAAAGUUCACACUGUGACGGUAUCUUACCAGAAAGGGACGGCUAACUACGUGCCAGCAGCCGCGGGAAUACGUAGGUCCCGAGCGUUGUCCGGAUUUAGUGGGCGUAAAGCGAGUGCAGGCGGUUGGAUAAUCUGAAGUUAAAGGCGUGUGGCUUAACCCUAGUACGCUUUGGAAAAUUGUUUACUUGGAGUGCAGAUGUGAGAGUGGGAAUUCCGUUGUGUAGCGGUGAAAUGCUUAUAUAUAUGGAGUAACACCGGUGGCGUGAUGUGCGUCUCUGGUUGAUGUUGAGCUGAGGGUCGGUGGGGCGGUACUGACUGUGUGAGAUCCUGUGUUGUGCAAGGAUAUCUCGUGUGGUGUGUGAUGCUGUGUGAUCGGUGGCCGGGGGGAAAAAAAAAAAAAAUGGUGUUGUUUCUUUAUGCGUGUGGUUGCCGCCAUGGUGUGGUUGA